rnacentral:rRNA from 1 species
AUGCAGAUCAGGGAUUUGCUCCGGGCAGCAGGAGAUCAGAAUUCGGCUGUGUCGCAGUCGCGCAACAGAAUUCACAGUCGAUCCGUCGCUGCGAAUACGGUUCAGUCGGCUCACAGCCCCAGAUCGCCUCCGCGGCGCGAAGGGCGCGAGAAUCGGCGAGACCAAUAUGGUGACCGACUCGACCGAGAUGAUAGGCGUCGAGUGCCCAAUUCCCCUCCGAGGGGUGGGUCUUACGCUCCUCGGCAGCAAGAUGACAGACGUCAGUUCAGUACGGGGCGAAGAGUUCCGGUCGACCCCAGAGAACCAGGCUUCGACGCGCGAUCCAUUAUCGUGCAAGGUUUGGUCGACCGGAACAGAGCCCAUCGAGGCGGACUCGACAGAGAUGCGCCCACAAGCAGUCGAGUGCAUGUUUCUGGUCCUGAAUGUUUCAGCAGAGCUAUCAGAGCCGCAGUUAUCCCUCCCAAUUUCAGGUUGGCAACAGGAGUCAGCAAGUUCACUGGUGAGUCUAAGCCUGAAACUUGGCUUGAGGACUACCGAGUGGCGGUUCAGAUUGGUGGUGGGAACGACGAGGUGGCCAUGAAGCAUUUGCCCCUCAUGCUGGAAGGUUCUGCCAGGGCAUGGUUGACUCAAUUACCUCAUAGCAGCAUUUACACUUGGGAAGAUCUGUCCCGAGUGUUCAUCAGAACGUUUGAAGGAACUUGCAAGCGACCGGCUGGACUGACGGAGUUGCAAGUCUGCGUGCAGAAGACCAAUGAGACUCUCAGAGAGUAUAUUCAGAGAUGGAUCACUUUGCACCAUACUGUGGAGAAUGUGUCUGAUCAUCAGGCAGUCUGCGCCUUUAAAGCUAGCGUCAAGAACAGAGAAUUGAGCUUGAAGUUUGGUCGAACCGGUGACAUGACCUUGAGUCGGAUGAUGGAGAUUGCUACCAAGUACGCCAACGGCGAAGAAGAAGACCGACUCCGAAGCGGCAAGCGCAAGCCGAGUCAGCCGGAAAAGGGAAACACCAGUCGGAAACAGAAGCGGAAGGCUGAACCGGCAGCUCCUGGAGAGGCUCUGGCCGUGACUCAGGGAAAGUUUAAAGGGAAACCAAAAUGA